GCGGUGGCCUCCGAGGCGUGGGCGCUGCGGGCCGAGAGUGCGAGCUGCGAGGAGCCGCGGGCGCCGUCGCAGGGGCAUGAGCCGGAUGAGUCCGAGGAGGAGGAGGCGGGCGACGUGGAGUCCGCGUGGCCGGCCCAGCCCCAGCCCGGGGAGAAGACCCAGGGGUCGAGGCCAACGAGGCCGUGCGGAGGCGGCGGGGAGCGGGCCAUGGCCGGAGCUGCGGGCUGGGAGACUGGGGCCACUUCCAGGACUGAGCUUUUAUCCGGACUAAAGAUUGUCGCUGAGAAAAUCAUCUCACUGCCCAUGUUUUUUUCUACACCUGAGAACUGGAACCCAGCACCCUGAAGAAGACAGAGGAGGCACAGUGGGCCAUGGAAAUGGGUGAAGGUGGCCCCUAGGUUGGCCUUUGUCUGUUGUGUGGCCUUGGGCAGAUCACUGACUACCUGUGGGCCCAGGUAGCCUCAUCCUUCCGGUAGUAACAGAAGAUGCCUGCUGCCUGGGAUGAUCCCUGUAGAGCGCUUGGAAUCACAGGCCUUUUGCUGGUAUCAUUUUAGAAAGAAGGUAUUAACAUCAAGGCACUUACAGGCAUUAUUCAUUUAAUUAAUAUUUAUUUAGCAGCUGGUAAAUGCCAGUCAUGCCAGGGUGACCAAGCUAGUAACCACCUCUGCUCUCCUGAGAUUUUAGUCUUGAAAGACACAUGAAUAGUCCAUUAUAUAACUAGUAGGUCCACCACUAGGUAGGGGCCCUUGGGCAGGACCUUUAACCUGAACUUAACCAGAGCUAAGUCAAACAGGAAUAAUAAUUAUAGUAUCUAAUCACAGGACUGAUGUGAGAAAUGAUUGACUGUAAAAUUUACAAAGUAAAUGUUCUCAGCAACAAUUAUACAUUAAUGGAAGCAUCAGGGUCCUUGUGAUGUCAAGGGAAAGUGCUGAGCCUGAAGGCUAAGAGGACCAGAGACAGUAGGGCUCUGGGCACUGAGGUGGAGGUGUCACAUCUGGGCCCUGAGACAGGAUUUGAGCAGGGAGAGGGAAGCGGGAAGAACAUUCUAGAAGGAUCUGCACAAGCAGAGGCCUGGCAGUGGACCCCCAGGGCACUGGAAGGCUGGGGUUGGGCCAAGGAGUUGGGUGUUGUUCCCAAGGUCAUAGGGAGUCAUAGGGACUUUUGAGAAAAAGGGUGACAAAUUUUAAAAAAUCAGCCAUCAACUAAAGGUCAACCUGACAACAACAAUCAAAAUAGAUCAGCCCACAGCAGCCUGAGAUAGCAGAGGGCCUUGUAAAUUUUUCAUGGCUGUUUUUAAAAAUUAAUUUUUAAUUACCCUUUCAUAAUCAGUACAUUUCUCUGGGAGAAAUGGAAAUAAGAUUGAUGAAGCUGGAGUCCCUUUAACCACACCGUGUCUCCCUAGAGGCGACAGCAGUUGUUCGGUUGUGCAUUUGCAUAAACUCAGGUAUCCUUAGAAGCCACAUAGUGCUUACUGUGGUUUGGUCUGCUCCCCCUGCCCCCCCGCCUGAUUUCCUGUGCUGGAAGCUUGGUUCCCAGUGCAGCAGGUUGAGAGGUGCACCUUUGGGGGUGACUGGGUCUUGAGCCCUCUGCCCUCCUGAAUGAUCUGUUCACUGCAGGAUUGGUAUGCUCUCCGGAAGAGGCAUUGCUAGGAAAGCAGGUGUGCUCUAAUAUGCUUGCUCUGUCUCUCCAUGCAAUGUUCCCUGCCCUCCCCAGAUGCCUGCACCAAACUUUUGGACCGCCCAGCCUCCAGACUGUCAGAAAUACAUUUCCUUACAAAUUACUUAGUCUGUAGUAUUCAAUCAGCAGUAGAACGUGGGCCAAGACACUACUCAUGGAGGCCUGUUGCGCAAACCCUGCAUUGCAUGUCUCACCCUGUAAUAUGCUGAAUUUUUUUUUCUUUCAUUAAACAGUGUAUGACCAAAGACCAUUCUGUGUCAGGACUCCUUUUUUCCAGUAAUGGGUCAAAUUGCUGGGCACACACAUUCAAUACCAGCACUCUGGGAGGCUGAGGCAGGAGAAUUGCAAGUUCUAGUGCAAUCUGGCAACUUAGUGACUUAGUGAGACUCUGUGUCAAAAUAAAAAAUAAAGGGGCUGGGUUGAGUCAUUUGUAGGAAAAUGGAUGCACCUCAAGUGAC
ensembl:lncRNA